rnacentral:rRNA from 1 species
GAUGAACGCUGGCGGCGUGCCUAAUACGUGCAAGUCGAGCGAACAGAUGAGAAGCUUGCUUCUCUGAUGUUAGCGGCGGACGGGUGAGUAACACGUGGGUAACCUACCUAUAAGACUGGGAUAACUCCGGGAAACCGGGGCUAAUACCGGAUAAUAUUUUGAACCGCAUGGUUCAAUAGUGAAAGACGGUUUCGGCUGUCACUUAUAGAUGGACCCGCGCCGUAUUAGCUAGUCGGUAAGGUAACGGCUUACCAAGGCGACGAUACGUAGCCGACCUGAGAGGGUGAUCGGCCACACUGGAACUGAGACACGGUCCAGACUCCUACGGGAGGCAGCAGUAGGGAAUCUUCCGCAAUGGGCGAAAGCCUGACGGAGCAACGCCGCGUGAGUGAUGAAGGUCUUCGGAUCGUAAAACUCUGUUGUUAGGGAAGAACAAAUUUGUUAGUAACUGAACAAGUCUUGACGGUACCUAACCAGAAAGCCACGGCUAACUACGUGCCAGCCGCCGCGGUAA